UAGAUGUAGCCGGAUGGGCUACUCGCCUUUCUUUUCUCUCUCUCUCGCUCGCUCGCUCUACUGCUCUCGCUCUCUCCUGCGCUCGCUCUUACUGCAAAACUAGGUCAAUUGGGAACCCACCUGCAUAUUGAUUGCAGGCUGGCACCAGGUAUAAAGCUAAGCCGGUGCUUCUUUGGAUUAUUCCUCCCAUGCAUUCAGCGCAAAGCAGCAGUAAAUGCUGACACUCUGCGACGGACUGAUCGGCAAGAGUAGAUCAUAUGACAGCCACAGCGCGGCAGGUUGUUUUAUUCCGGCGUUGCGGAGAGAGGUGCUUGUGUGAUUUCCCCCACCAGUGAGAGUAUAGCGCCUCCGGUCCUGGGUGAACGGAGGACGUACCAGUGGCCCUGGGACCUUAGGUGGUGGGUCGUUUUCACACUUUCUUUUGUACAGCACCGGGUGGGCUGCAGUGAUUUUCGUUUUGUGUGAUUUUCUUUUGGGUCCACGGCUGCUGGUAAGUCCAAGUUCCAUGAUUGUUUUAUUUUCACGUUAAGACACUGUCAACAAUGACGCUACAUUUUGGUUUCUAAUAUUUUAUUUAUUUUUAUUAUAAAUAAACUGUUUUAAUAUUGGAGCCAA